GUUGUAUAUAAAAAACCUCGCCAAGGACCCAGCUGAGUACGUAUAUCGGCAGGCGGCAAACACAUCGAUCGCUCUCGAGCAUCUGCUCUUAUGGGUGGAUUGAUGAAGGAGACUGGCAGCGGUGGGAACCGAGACGUCAGCAAAAGUCAUGGAAAGAAAAAAUUCAAGAUGCCAAGAAAAAGUUUUAGACUUUGCCGAAGGGAGGAGAACGGUACCUUCCCAAUGGUCAACCGGCACCUUAUUCUCAGGACCACAGCGUUGUACCGUGAAUCGUACAAACGCAUCUUUUUUAGAUCAGCGCUCAAGGUCUACGAUGAACUCGUGAGAGAUGGCAUGCUUACAUAGGAAGUUUACGAAGAGCAUCGCCUCGCCAUCGAAAGCUCAAUGCAAUCUAUCAGGCAUAGCAUUCAAAGAUACAAAGAGCGCCGCUUGCAGGCUGGGCUAUUUUACUUUGCGCAUGAUUUAGGCGGAACCAGGCUGACUACCCAUACGCACUUGUACAAAAUGCCUCUCAAGGAAGCGUUAAGGAAACAUCGACAAGAAAAUAAAAAGAGGAAACAGCUACUGAAUGCUUUCAACAAUUCAAAGAAAUCAAGCAUCUUUAACACCAUCAUGCAGAGACCAUCUGUGAAAAGGCUAGUCACGUAUACAGUGUCUUCCCUUGUAUUGGGUUGCCUUAUAAUUUUUCUAUGAAAGGUCAUGAAUAGUGUGGAGUAUGGUUGUGUUCUAGGCUUAUUGCUGAGUUAGAAAAAGAAAAAGAAAUUGUGUCA